GAGUUUGAUCAUGACUCAGAUUGAACGCUGGCGGCAUGCCUUACACAUGCAAGUCGAACGGCAGCACGGGAGCUUGCUCCUGGUGGCGAGUGGCGAACGGGUGAGUAAUGCAUUGGAACGUAUCCUGGAGUGGGGGAUAACGUAGCGAAAGUUACGCUAAUACCGCAUAUUCUGUGAGCAGGAAAGCGGGGGACCUUCGGGCCUCGCGCUCUUGGAGCGGCCGAUGUCGGAUUAGCUAGUUGGUGAGGUAAAGGCUCACCAAGGCGACGAUCCGUAGCAGGUCUGAGAGGAUGAUCUGCCACACUGGAACUGAGACACGGUCCAGACUCCUACGGGAGGCAGCAGUGGGGAAUUUUGGACAAUGGGGGCAACCCUGAUCCAGCCAUGCCGCGUGAGUGAAGAAGGCCU
rnacentral:rRNA from 1 species